GACAGAGGCCUCGAGCGUUAGGCGGAAUCACUGGGCUUAAAGCGUGUGUAGGCGGAUCGUUAAGUGCCUUGUGAAAUCCCACGGCUUAACAGUGGAACGGCUGGGCAUACUGGCGGUCUUGAGCCAUCUAGGGGCGACUGGAACAAACGGUGGAGCGGUGAAAUGCGUAGAUAUCGUUUGGAACGCCAAUGGUGAAAACAGGUCGCUGGGGAUGAGCUGACGCUGAGACACGAAAGCCAGGGGAGCAAACGGG
rnacentral:rRNA from 1 species